GGUAGCUCAAUGGUAGAGUGUUUGCCUAGCAUGCAAAGGCCCUCAGUUCAAUCCCAAGCACA
rnacentral:tRNA from 1 species